rnacentral:rRNA from 1 species
UACGUAGGGGUCGAGCGUUGUCCGGAGUACUGGGCGUAAAGCGUGCGCAGGCGGCUUGUUGCGCCCGGCGUGAAAGCCCCCGGCUCAACCGGGGAGGGUCGUCGGGGACGGGCAAGCUUGAGGGUAUCAGGGCUGGUGGAAUUCCGGUGUAGUGGUGAAAUGCGUAGAUAUCGGGAGGAACACCAGUGGCAGAAGGCGACUACCUGCCUGUUCUUGACGCUGAGGCGCGAAAGCUA